rnacentral:lncRNA from 1 species
CCUGACCUCAGGUGAUCCACCCGCCUCGGCCUCCCAAAGUGCUGGAAUUACAGGCGUGAGCCACCGCGCCCUGCCAAGCAACGUCACUUAUUACCCCUGCUGACUUGGGAGCAAAUGUCACAUAUAAAUUCCCCCACGUGCGGAGGUGUUUCCCUUUCCUUGCUGUGUCUGCAUUCGACAGCAGCCACGCUAAGCGGCUGGACCAAAUGGAGCAUCAUAACGUGUUAUUUUAUUUUAUGAUUUUAUUUUAUGUUUUUUGAGACAGAGUCUCGCUCCUCCCGUCCACCUGCCGGCGCUCCUGGGGCUUCGGGCCACGGCUGUCUCCUCCGGGAGCGGCGGCGCUGUAGGAAGCCUGGUCCUCUCCCUCAGCGGUCACAGCCAUCGCUCGCGUACGCCCCCGGACUGACGCCUCCCGCCGGGAGCCCUCUUCGAAUCCCGCCUGCGCAACUCCCACGCCACAGCCCUGGGCCAUCCCUGCUCCCGCGCAGCCCCGGCCGCCUGCCUCCUACCUCGCCUCCCCAAGGCCCCAGCGCGCCGGGGCUUCCCUGUCCCGGGCGCCUGCUCGUGGCGGCGGGCGGGCUCCUUGUCCGGCUCUUAAGGGCCGGCGCCGGCUCCUGGGCCUCCCCUCCUUCCCAUCGCGGCCUGCUCCUCCCACCCGCCUUCUCCGAGCUGAUGCCAAGGCCGGACGGACGCGACAAAGGCCUGCUGCCGAACGUGACCUGUCCGCAGAGUAGACAGACGGGCCCCCUGACCGCCAGACUGAGGAGACCCGGCGGGCGGGAGCGGAUGGGCGCGCCUGCGCACCCCCUCCCGGCGCUCGCCAGUCACGUGGGGCCGCGAGUGGCGCCGCUGCCGGAAGCGCCCCCCAAGGAAACGCAAGCAGUGGCGGAGCGGGGUUCCGCCUGGGCCGGGCUCUAGCGCCGGCGCUGCGCGGGAGUCAUCGCGUGCCGACUUCCGUGUUGUCGCUCUCCCCUCCCAAAAGCGCGGCCGCGAGGACGGGCGCUGCCAGCGAUUUCCUCGCCUUUGUGUCGCGGGGCUGUCCGCUGCGCGUUACUUGGUGCGAUACGCGCAUUCGGCGGUGAUCCCGAGCCCCACGCGAACCUCCCUGUGUCCUUGCUAGUGCCUGGCGCCGUCACUGACGCUGAGGCGUGAACACGGAGUCGGCCCAGAGGGGCUGUUCUCCCGGACGCCGAGGCCACCCCACGCGGCCGCAGGGCCGGGCAGAGGGGAACUGCAGGGAGGCGCGGGCCGCAUCCCUCCCGGAGGUCUGCGAGCUUCUUGAGGCCUCACGCCCCCUUUUGAGCCCCGCUGCUGCCCUGUGGCGCUGCUUCUCCAUCCCUGCGGGUGACCAUCGACGCGUUCCCCUUGCUCGCUUCUUGGUUACGGGCCAGGGGAUACUCCUGCCCGACCCUCGGCAUUGCCCAAGGGAGUUUGCACUUCCCACUGUGCUCUGCCAAGCCUCUGUGGAGAGGAGCCCUCCACCUGCCUGACCGGGCCCAGCUUUGGGGAAGACCUUCUUGGUUUUGUCUGCUGGCUGGACUGACCCUGGCCCUCAGCCCAGGUGAGGCGACCAGCGGCAUGAUGCCCGGGUGGAACACGGAUUUCUCUCCAGGGUGGCCGAAGAAUGGUUUAGAAGCAGCAGUGGGAUGAGGGAGAAUCCCGACCCCGUCUCAAAAGGAAUCCUGGAGGUAGAUGUGACUGGCAUUACUUCAGCAGCCCAGUGCUGUAAGGGCCAGCAAUUGCAGGGACAGGCUUUGCAAUUCUGUGACUUUCCCUCAUGGUCACAAAAGGAUUGCCACAGCUCCAGACAUCACACCAUGUUCUGGCUGUAAGAAUGGGGAAAUGAUAGUUACAGAGAUGUUUAUCUCUUUAUUAUGAAAGCAAAAUUCUCAGAGGCUCCCCAGUAGGCUUCUAUGUACAUCGUACAUGGCUGAGCAGUGCCAUGAUCUGUCAGUCUGUCGCCUGCAUGCUGGAGAAGGAAGACAGCCAUGGUGUCAUUAGUCUGAGUCCAAGGCCCGAGGGCAGGAGAAGAUGGCCAUCCCAGCUCAAACAGAAGCAAAUUCUUCUUCCACCUUUUUGUCCUUUUCAGGCCCUCAGAUUGGACAGUGCUCACCCACACUGGUGUGGGUGGGUCUUCUGUACGCAGUUUACUAUACUAAUUCAAGUGCCAACUUCUUCCAGAAACGCCCUCACAGACACACCCAGAAAUCACAUUUACCAGCUAUCUGGGCACCCCCUUGCCCAGUCAAGUUGACAUAAAAUUAACCAUCCACCAUGUGACAACUGAGGCAGAGCUCGAAGUGCUGCAGCUUCAAGCUGAGGAAAGCAGGACUGUGACCCCACACCAGAUGCUGCUAGGAGAGCAGCGAGGGAGGGGCCUCCUCUCAGCCUUCAGAGGAAGCGCAGCCCUGUGGCACCUUGCCAUCCGGCCUCCAGAGCUGUGUGAAUGCAUUUCUGCCAUUUGUAGCAUGCAAUUUGUGGUCCUUUGUUACGGCAGUGGAACCCCAGCGCAGCCCCCGACCACAGUGUCUGGGCAAGUGGGAGGGAGGGGGUAGACAAGCAACCAGAUCCCACAGUUGGGUUUUGCUUAGUGAUUCCAAAGAGAGACCCAACCAAGGGCCCAGGCUUCUACCCCUGGGCUUUCAAGGAAGUGACAGAAGCUACACAGCUUGGCCAGGCGCGGUGGCUCACGCCUAUAAUCCCAGCACUUUGGGAGGCCAAGGCAGAUGUUUGAGACCAGCCUGGCCAACGUGGUGAAACCCCAUCUCAGCCAAACAUGCAAAAAUCAGCCGGGUGUGGUGGCACAUGCCUGUGAUCCCAGCUACUCAGGAGGCUGAGGCAGGAGAAUCACUUGAACCAGAGGCAGAGGUUACAGUGAGCCAAGAUUGCACCCCUGUAUUCCAGCCCAGGUGACUGAGCGAGAGUCCUAUAAGCUACACAGCUCUGGCAGCCUCAUGUCAUACCCUCUCCUGUCCUACCUACAAGAGGGGAGGGAAUUCAGAGCACAUAUCCUGAUAGGCAAAAUGCAGUGAUUCCCACCCCUGUCACCCCUGAAGCAGCGAGGGUGUGCAUUUGAAAUGCUUGCAGGUGAGGACUCUGGCAUCUCACCCCCCAGCUGGGAGCCAGCCAAGCUACAUUCCCUGCAGACAGUCCUGCUGUCUCCCUGGGAGCAGAGCGAUCCUUGGGGCUGGGCUUAUUGUCCCCGAAGGUGGGCUGUCCAGAUGAACGUGGAGACGAUGCCCACCACCUUGGGUAUUUCCGAAUGUGGGAGCCCAUGAGAGCAGCAGGCACCAAACUAGUAAGGAGGCAGGCAGGGUGGCAGGCCUGGGGCGAGAACGCCCUGGGUGGGGCCUGCAGAAACUGGAGCUCUCUCCUUCGAACUCAUUUAGAGGUGCAGGCAGGGGUCAGGGAGUAGACCAGGGGCCGAGGUGCCCGGAGGCCAGCCAUGUAGGGCCGUGAGGCUGGUGAGGUUUGAGAGUCAGGGACCCUGACCUUCACGCCCUUUCUCAGGGCCCUGGGAGGGACCCCAGAAAUGUACUUGCAGAGUCAUGUGACAUAAUUUACAUACCUUAAAUAAAUACACAUAUCUCUACAUUUCUCUCCAUACCAUCUGUCCAUCUAUCUACAGUCUGCCAGGGCUGCCAAAACAAAAUACUACAGCCUGGGCAGCUUAAACAAUGGAUUUUUUUCUUUUUUUGAGGCAAGGUCUUACUCUGUUGCCCAGGCUGGAAUGCAGGGGUGCGAUCUCGGCUCACUGCAACCUCUGUCUCCUGGGUUCAAGUGAUUCUCCCACCUCACCCUCCCCAGUAGCUGGGACUACAGGUGCCCACCACCAUGCUCGGCUAGUUUUUGUAUUUUUGGUAGAGAC